UGGAGUUUUGGCUUUUAGACAUGAAGAAUACGAAGAGAACUGUUAUGACAUUCGUUACUGUUUCUUGUCUUGCAAUUUAUUGACUAUUUAAUACUUAAUAGUGAGAUCGCGGUUUUCCAUAAAAUUGAAACCAAAAUAUUACAGACCUGUGGUGACUAAUGCAAGGCCUCUAAAAGAAAAUUCUCGGCCGACCGUUAUCUUCUUGUCUUCAUUCGUUCUUCAAAACACCCAGAUGCAUUUUUCCAUAACACUUUCCCGCCAGAAGCCGUUCUUUAGUGGACAGUCGGAGGAUCGAAAAUCUUUAACUCUGUAUGAUUCGUGCCGAAGAUCGGGAGUCGGCCACCGAUGUCAAUCUACAACGCAGUUUCUUAAUUGGAGCUGGUGUUUCCUGGGAUGUGUUGUUGCGGAUUUGUUACACUAUCAUGUUCAAAAAGGUAAAAUUGUGUCCGCCAGGUGGUGGAGUGCCUGUUCGUGAGUGACGAAGCCGCCAUUUGCUUUUGAAACAGCGUACGGGAAAUUCUGCCAAAUGACGGUGUUCUUCGCUUUUACAUUUUAAAAAAUGUUUCCACGCCAUUCGACCAAGUUGAAACGAAAGUGAAUAAUUCUAAAGCAUCAUGUCGAAGAUCUUGCCUUUAUCCACGUGAUCGCUGCCAUGAAGGUGUGUCUACUAUAUUGCAAGACGAUAAUGUGAAGAAACCAGGAAAUCUGAAAUGCAUAUCUGAGUAUGAGCUGCAGCCAGUUGGCGGAAGUUGUGAACAUGUUAGCUGUUGCAAUCAGUUUGUGAGGCAUCUCAUGCAGAAACCAAAAAUGAUAAGCAUGUCGGAGAUCUUGCCUUUCUCAACGUGCGGUGCCGUGUCAACGAGAUGUCUCUUUGAUGAGGUCUCUACUAUAUUGCAAAACAUAAAUGUGAAGAAAACAGGAAAUCUGAAAUGGAUUCCAUGGUCAGUUUGAUGUAUGAGCUGUUUAUAGUGUUGCUGUUUGGUGUGAACCGGUUUGCAGUCAUUUUCCACCUGAGAGAUGCGCUGAAACGGAGCUUCGUCAGACUUGCAGUUCAACAUCAUACUUCGAUGUGAUAAUGUCUAUGUUUGGGUCCGUGCAGUGUUGAGCUGUUGGGCAAACAGUCAAUGUUGUCUGAUGGCUGUCAGACAUAUUUUGUCGGUUGCAUUUUGUCAACGUGUCGUCUCUUGCUACCUGUACUGGUGUUGAGGUAGUGCUUGAUGAACAGUAUCAUUUUUUCAGCCGUUAUUGCAGCCCAAACUGGUGAAAGAUCUUUUUGCAUCAAGUAAAUCUGUCUGUUUUUUUUUUUUUUUUGUUUUGUGUUUUGUGUUGAUGCAGUGUUACGGAAGUUGCAUCAUUAUUGUGUUGAAUUGUCAUUGUGACUGCACUUAACCGUUUAUAAUUUAGAAAGGGGGAAAAAAAAACAGAAUUAUGGGGAAUUUAUGUCAAACAACUAAUAAACAUGCUUUCGGGAUCGGGAAAGGAAUGUGGAGGUUGUCGAGUGGGAGGGUAAUGACUUGAGUUUUCAUAUCUCAAAUUAUAAUGAGGUAUGUUGAAUUGUACUGAUGCGAAAAAUGUGGAUAAAACUUAUAAAUCCACAAAAACUCCUA
rnacentral:lncRNA from 1 species